GAUGAACGCUGGCGGCGUGCCUAAUACAUGCAAGUCGAGCGAACGGACGAGAAGCUUGCUUCUCUGAUGUUAGCGGCGGACGGGUGAGUAACACGUGGAUAACCUACCUAUAAGACUGGGAUAACUUCGGGAAACCGGAGCUAAUACCGGAUAAUAUUUUGAACCGCAUGGUUCAAAAGUGAAAGACGGUCUUGCUGUCACUUAUAGAUGGAUCCGCGCUGCAUUAGCUAGUUGGUAAGGUAACGGCUUACCAAGGCAACGAUGCAUAGCCGACCUGAGAGGGUGAUUGGCCACACUGGAACUGAGACACGGUACAGACUCCGACGGUAGGAAGCAGUAGGGACUCUUCCGCAAUGGGGGAAAGCCUGACGGAGCAAAGUCGCGUGAGUGAUGAAGGUCUUCGGAUCGUAAAACGCUGUAAUUCGGGAAGAACAAAUGUGUAAGUAACUGUGAACAUCUUGACGGUACCUAAUCAGAAAGCCACGGCUAACUCCGUG
rnacentral:rRNA from 1 species